rnacentral:lncRNA from 1 species
UUGUUUGAAAGUAAGAGUAAAAUUUAUUUACAUGCAGUGCUCUGAAGACAGGCUUUGUCUUGUGGUUACAGUUACAUUUGUAGAGAAAAGAAGUCUAAGCUAGGCCUCAGACUUUCUACCUUGUGGCUUCCUUCCUCUGUAAGGAUGAGCCAUGUGCUGCCUAAGAGCCAGAAGAGAGGAAGAUGGCAAAAGAGGAAGAUGGCUGCAUGGCUAGCCCUUUUGUAGGGUCUGCUAGGGUCACGCCCAUCUACCUGAUCAUACACAGGGGGAGGAUGCUCUAUAUCAGGUGUGACAGGAAGUCCUCCUUGUCUGGAGCAACAUUCUCCUGCGUGUCCACUCUAGGCAACAGGAAAUGUUGUAUUUGACUGCUUCACUGAUGAUACAUCCCACAUAUUUCACCCGCAGAGGUAGAAAUUUGGUUGGUGUUUUGACACUAGCUGACUAAUAACUCUUCACCAAGACAUUUGGGAGUGAUUAAUCAAUAUUGUUCUGCUGUUUUGUUCUAGUCUUAACUUGUUACACUGUGUUUUACAAUUUUAAGGUUUAUGUAUGCAGACCAACCUGAGGCCAUUUAUGAUGAAAGGCAGCAUAUUAAUUUACUGAAUGAAUUUUUCUUGCCAGCCUCAGGACUAUGGAUGGGGAACCAGUGUCCCCAUGCAGAUGUUGUAUGAACCAAAUUCCCAAAUUGCCAUUGGCCCAAGCCAAUAUGGCCAAUGGUCAGGUCUUAUGGGUGCUGGAAUCCAACAUUUGUAGAUCUAGAGAUUACCCAUUGCUGCUGCCUUUCAUCAAAUAUAUAUUUGUCCUGAUGUCUCGGGGCUUCUUCACACAUGCAUAUACUCCUCAGUGCUGAAUUACGCAGCAGCUAAUGACACUCUGUAGAAUGCUUGAACAGACUGUUGAGAAGAAAUUACAUUUGAAUUGAAUGCGGAGUGAUGUGAAAGUUCUGUCUGCGAUGUUAGGCUUGCAAUGGUCGAUUCAUACAUGCAAGCCAUCAUCUGAUCUUACUGUCAUCAAGUGAUGAACAUAACGGCAUGAUCCAACAUUUUGUAGAGGGCAGUAUUUUGCCACAGCAGCAGGAUUGGACAGCUGUGGGGAUGAUGACAUGAUUGUUAUGAAUGUAUUGGCCAUCCUGGGUGAUCAAGUCUAUUAAAGUCCCUUUUUGUGAAAACUCUUGCUAUUUCAUUCUCUAAAACAGAUGUAUAAAAAUCAUUUAUGGGGAUAUUCACCCUUUUGACCCUGAGUGAAGCCAGUUUUUAACACAUACGCCCAUGACCUAUCCAGCCAGAUUAUGUGAGUUGCACAAGCGACAAAUCUCAUUUUAAUGUUGCGUGGCAAUGCCAAACAAGUACCGUGUCCCUUUUAAUAGGAAGGGCACUGCCCUGCAAAAUAUCCCUUUAAAAAUACAUUCUGCCUAAUUCUGGUGAAGUCAAACAGCCUCUAAUUGCAGUGUGAAGGGAGAGACCCGGGACAUCUUUCAAUCUAGAGCAGCUGUUAAAACUGUCAAACGGUCUCAGUGUCCAUUUGGCUGUGGUAGUAAAUGUGGCACUAAUGAGAUUGUGGGCCCUGCUUCUGCCCUGCUAGCAAAUAAACACCUUCAGCCGCUGACAUGUUUGUUACCACAUCUGCUUAAGGGAUGGGAUUAACUAUCUGCUUAAUGUCACACUUCAUUAUGCUGUAGUUAAAAUGCUACCUCCAGCAAAACUUUAGAGAGGGAGGGGAAAACAUGAGAUUUGUAAGGAAGGCCGGCUUUCCUGAAAUCUAAUAUGAACAGAAAUACCCCCUGCAUGAAAGGUAUGAUAAUAGCUUUGGUCGUUGGCAUGUGCAUGAUAUCAAGUUACAUGGGAAACCCACCACGUGGAAAGACAGCUUAUUCUCAGAGAUAAUAUAGAGCAAAACUAGCCAGGUUUUAAUGGCUGGGAAGCAGAAGGGGGGGUGGAAUUCUGUUUGUGCAGUUCCAUACAACCUUUAAAGCCCACAAUGAUCAUGGUGCAGGUUUCUGCAGGGUGAAUCCACACAUCUGGAUUGCAACACAACACAACAGCAGUGAGGUCAUGGCCAUAUUCUAUUACAGUACUACUUUAAGUUGAGAAAUACAUAGAGAAAGAAGGUAGGAGAGAAAUGGUAUUAUUUUUAAAGGGUGUAGGUGUUUGCAGAGGGGAAGAGGGGACAGGAAGGUUUUCUUCUGUGCACUUCCUGAAGUUAAAUUAUUUCAGGACCCAAGCAGAUAUUUGUUAGUUGCAUCUCAGCUGAGUUGCAGAGGAGCCAUGGUUUCACCCCAGGUUUAAUUCCAGGCACUUCCAGUUAAUGGAUCUCAGUUGGGAGGGAUGGGAAAAGGCUCUCCCUGAGACUGUUGUUAGAUGGAGUAGAUGUUAGUUAGUGGGUAAAGAUGGGGCAGUGGUCUGCUUCAUUAUAAGGCGGAUUUGUUUGUCUGAAGGUAACUAGACUGAUGCAUACAGUGAAAAACCUUCAAAACAGUUCAAAUAAAAAACAAAAUUUGAUGUAUAGAUUAAAUACACAAGCAGCAAUUUGGGGGGAAGUUAAGCACAAGCCCUAUUGAAAUUUCUUCUUCUUCUUCUUCUUCUUCUUCUUCUUCUUCUUCUUCUUCUUCUCCUCCUCCUCCUCCUCCUCCUCCUCCUUAUAUUUAUUUGUUGAAUUCUCCCCGCCCCCAAAAUGAAACUCAAAGCAACUUACAAAAAAUGAACAUUUGAAACAAGUAUAAAACAGUCCAAGCUACACAAAUAAAAUAAUGACAACUGGGCUCUUGUGCGGUUCUCAUUCAUUUUAAUAGCACUUAUGGAUUUUGUAAAGGAUGCUUGAGGAAUUCGACUUUUGCAAAUUCCUACACAUAUUUGUGAAAUGUGUUGGAAUAUCUUGAAAUAUUUUGAAAUGGAAAUGCAUUUUUCAAGCAAUUGAAUAAAAGUAAUUUUAAGAAAUAUUCACAGAGCAAUGAGGAACUGGGACUAAAUAGACUUGUGGAUCUUAUGGGACAAUGAAAUAGACCAGAACCAGAGUGAUUCACCUGUCCCUAGUUCCCAUAUUUCCUUCCAUUAGAUUCUCCUUGCUGAUGUGCCUUUAUGGGUCUUUUUAAAUUGUAAAAAUAGUUAAAUCUUAAGCAGAAAUGAUUUUAAAUGAUUUGAUUGUGGUCAUGCAUACACUGAUUUAAUGCUUCUUUUAAAGUAAAUCAUAGGAAAUCCAUCAUUUCUCAUGAUGAAAUCCAGAAAUCCUCUCAUCCAGUGUCAAGGAUGGCUUCAACAAGCACUAAAAUUCAUUUUUGAGCCUUUCUGGAAGUGUAGUGUGAUUCUCCACCACAUCCACAAAGAGUAGGUUCUGAGCAGCUGAAUAUCACUAGGUGACCCCAAAAUUUCACGCAUGAGUAUCACAAGUCAUAUGAAACUCACCACCUCCCUCUCAUUGCCAGCAACCUGGAAGUUCACCUCUUUUAUUUCUGUGUACCACUGGUCAAAUAUUAACAUAGCAUAGUUUGCCAGUACAAAGCAAAUGAGCACAUAGCCUAUUAGUUUAUUAAGUAGGCAAUAACCCGUUAAUCUAAUGUCCCAACACCAGAGAGUGCUGGAAAAGUAAGGAUAUAAUAGCUGCCUUGUUAGUUUAUUUUCCUUGAGCAUAUGAUAAAUAGGCCUAAAUUAUGUUUCCCCAAAUGAAUUCACAUUAAAUACAAAAGUUCCUUCAUUUUGGAAGUUGACAAGUUAUUGGUGCAAUAAUUCAGGCUGAAAAAAUUUCCUUCUGGUGAUUUCAAAAUAAAAACUGGAAAUUCAUCCACUGAAAUUAUUCAUUUUCAAAUGGGAUCUGUUUUAUUAUGUAGUCUUUAUUGAAAGCCAGCUUAGAUCAGGUGACUAUAUUACCUGUAUAUGGUGAAAAAUGUAUCUGGAAUAGGUAAUUUGACAUUAGAAAGUAAUUUUUACAUUUGAAUAGGAAACAAUUUUCUCCUUUUUGUUGAUAACAAAUGUUCAUUGUUUAUUUGAAAUCUAAUAAAUCUCUAUUCUGACCUCACCCACAGUUUGGCUACCACCAUAGUUGAAACUGAAGCCUCAGCAGCAAAGGCCCUUUUCACGUUAGAUCUCAAGAUUAUCUUUGAAGAUUUCCCAUGCUAUUUGGAUGGGUGAAUAUCAUUAAUGUGGAGCAGAAGAGGAACUGAAACUGAAUAAAAGCUGCUCAGGUUGGUUAAAUCUCUCUGUGUCUGAGGCCCAAAGCAUCCCCCCCCCCCCCCGGAAGCCAGUAAUAGCAACUCAAUGCUGCCCCCUGAUGUUUUCUCCUGGCCAAAAGAACUUCAGAUUCUGCUCUAAAAUGGGCAGCCAAACAUGUAAGUGGACUGACGUCACUAAAAAUAACACUUUGAAAUCACUGUUUGGAUGCUUGAGAGCAUUGACCAGUUCCGUUGCUUAACUGCUGUUUUAAAUAACUUGGCCACUUCAUCCCAUUCUAAUUUCCAGAAUGGAUUAUUGUAAUGUGUUCUAUGUAGAGCUGCCUUUGAAGACAACUCAGGAACUACAAUUGGUCCAAAAUGCAGUGGCUGGGGAUCCACUUAGAUCUUCCAUAGCCCCUGGGACCUUCUGGCAAAAG